rnacentral:rRNA from 1 species
UAAUACGUAGGGUGCGAGCGUUGUCCGGGAAUUAUUGGGCGUAAAGGGCUCGUAGGCGGUUUGUCGCGUCGGGAGUGAAAACCAGGUGCUUAACACCUGGCUUGCUUUCGAUACGGGCAGACUAGAGGUAUGCAGGGGAGAACGGAAUUCCUGGUGUAGCGGUGAAAUGCGCAGAUAUCAGGAGGAACACCGGUGGCGAAGGCGGUUCUCUGGGCAUGACCUGACGCUGAGGAGCGAAAGUGUGGGGAGCGAACAGGAUUAGAUACCCUGGUAGUCCACACCGUAAACGUUGGGCGCUAGGUGUGGGGUCCAUUCCACGGAUUCCGUGCCGCAGCUAACGCAUUAAGCGCCCCGCCUGGGGAGUACGGCCGCAAGGCUAAAACUCAAAGGAAUUGACGGGGGCCCGCACAAGCGGCGGAGCAUGCGGAUUAAUUCGAUGCAACGCGAAGAACCUUACCUGGGUUUGACAUACACCCUGCCGCUCCAGAGAUGGGGCUUCUUUUGGGGGUGUACAGGUGGUGCAUGGCUGUCGUCAGCUCGUGUCGUGAGAUGUUGGGUUAAGUCCCGCAACGAGCGCAACCCUCGUUCUAUGUUGCCAGCAUGCCCUUCGGGGUGAUGGGGACUCAUAGGAGACUGCCGGGGUCAACUCGGAGGAAGGUGGGGAUGACGUCAAGUCAUCAUGCCCCUUAUGUCCAGGGCUUCACGCAUGCUACAAUGGCCGGUACAAAGGGCUGCGAUCCCGUGAGGGGGAGCGAAUCCCAAAAAGCCGGUCUCAGUUCGGAUUGGGGUCUGCAACUCGACCCCAUGAAGUCGGAGUCGCUAGUAAUCGCAGAUCAGCAACGCUGCGGUGAAUACGUUCCCGGGCCUUGUACACACCGCCCGUCACGUCACGAAAGUCGGCAACACCCGAAGCCAGUGGCCCAACCGUUUACG